rnacentral:rRNA from 1 species
CACGUAGGGUGCGAGCGUUGUCCGGAAUUAUUGGGCGUAAAGAGCUCGUAGGCGGUGUGUCGCGUCGGCCGUGAAAACCUGCAGCUUAACUGUGGGCUUGCGGUCGAUACGGGCAUCACUGGAGUUCGGCAGGGGAGACUGGAAUUCCUGGUGUAGCGGUGAAAUGCGCAGAUAUCAGGAGGAACACCGGUGGCGAAGGCGGGUCUCUGGGCCGAUACUGACGCUGAGGAGCGAAAGCCAGGGGAGCGAACGGG